GACGAAAGCUGGGGGCACGAACCGGAUUAGAUACCCGGGUAGUCCCAGCUGUAAACGAUGCUCGUUAGGUGUCAGGAACGGUGCGACUGUUUCUGGUGCCGAAGGGAAGCCGUGAAACGAGCCACCUGGGAAGUACGGCCGCAAGGCUGAAACUUAAAGGAAUUGGCGGGGGAGCACUACAACGGGUGGAGCCUGCGGUUUAAUUGGACUCAACGCCGGAAAACUCACCGGGGGUGACAGCAAUAUGUAGGUCAGGUUAAAGGUCUUACCUGAAUCGCUGAGAGGAGGUGCAUGGCCGUCGUCAGUUCGUACUGUGAAGCAUCCUGUUAAGUCAGGCAACGAGCAAGACCCGUGCCCACUGUUACCAGCAUAUCCUUUAUGGAUGAUGGGGACUCUGUGGGGACCGCUGCUGCUAAAGCAGAGGAAGGUGCGGGCUACGGUAGGUCAGUAUGCCCCGAAUCUCCCGGGCUACACGCGGGCUACAAUGGUUGGGACAAUGGGCAUCUACUCCGAAAGGAGUUGGCAAUCUCUUAAACCCAAUCGUAGUUCGAAUUGAGGGCUGUAACUCGCCCUCAUGAAGCUGGAAUCCGUAGUAAUCGCGUUUCAACAUAGCG
rnacentral:rRNA from 1 species